rnacentral:tRNA from 1 species
GAAGGUGUGUUAUUAUAGAACUGCUAAAUCCAUAACCCAAAAUUAAAACUUUGGCACCUUCC